GACGUAGGGCGCGAGUGUUGUCCGGAUUUAUUGGGCGUAAAGAGCUCGUAGGCGGCUUGUUGCGUCGACUGUGAAAACCCGCGGCUUAACUGCGGGCUUGCAGUUGAUACGGGCAGGCUAGAGUUCGGUAGGGGAGACUGGAAUUCCUGGUGUAGCGGUGAAAUGCGCAGAUAUCAGGAGGAACACCGGUGGCGAAGGCGGGUCUCUGGGCCGAUACUGACGCUGAGGAGCGAAAGCGUGGGGAGCGAACAGG
rnacentral:rRNA from 1 species